CUCAUUUUCUUUUACCUUGUUGUAAUUUUUUUUUUUUCAUUUUGAGUUUUUUCAUUUUCCCUUCUUUUUUUUAGAUGAGUUCAUCUUCUCGUGUGCUUGGAUCCUUAAAGUCUGAAUCCAUUUCCAUUCAAAGGAGGCGAAGAGGAAGAUCCGAUCGAAGACGUUCCUUCUGCGGAACCAAAGCUUCUCGGCACGAACACAAAGGCGACGAUCUAAGGCCAUUUUCAAUCCAUCAAGAGACGCAGACUCUAUCACUUUCUUUGGACCGGGAAAAGAUCGAUUAUGUUCUCGGGGCAUUAGAAGCAAGAGUUUGAUCUAGGAGCAAUGGCGUCGUCGUCAAAUUCGCCCUGUGCCGCCUGUAAGUUCCUCAGGCGCAAAUGUACGCAGGAGUGCGUAUUUGCCCCCUAUUUUCCCCCUGACAAUCCUCAGAAGUUUGCAAAUGUACACAAGGUGUUCGGAGCAAGCAACGUUGCUAAGCUCCUCAACGAGCUUAGCACAACCCAGAGAGAGGACGCCGUGAACUCGCUGGCCUAUGAGGCGGAGGCUCGUCUUCGCGAUCCUGUGUACGGCUGCGUGGGCCUCAUUUCCGUCCUUCAACAGAAGCUGAAACAGGUCCAACACGACCUCUACAAUGCCAAGAAGGAACUCUCCAACUACAUUGGCCCCUCCGCGAUGCUCCCCAUCACUCAUCAACAUCAUCACCACCUCUUGCACCACCACCAACAACACCCGUCUCCGUCCAUGGGUGGCCCGUUCGGGAUGUCCUCGGUUGGCAUGGGCAUGCCUCCUGGUCCUUCGGCACAGGCCCAGUUUCUGAUACGGGAGCAACAGCAGAUGAUCGAGGCUCAGCAACUGGCAGGAGUUAUGCCUAUGAGAGAUCAGCAUGAGAUGAUGAGGAGAUUUGAACAACAACAGCAUGACCUAGUAAGGUUUAACAGCGGUUUUGAUGUUCCCGCCGGGGCCGGAGGCGCGGGUAGUAGCAAUGGUAGUGGUGGUGGUGGUUUUACCGACGUGCCUAGUGGGGUUGGUGGUGGUGGAUAUAAUCAGAUGAGUGCGGCAUUGCCCUCUUCACUAGCUUUGGUUCCGUUUGACAACCCAUUUCAGGUUCAACAACCGCAACCAGAGCACCCACAGCAACCGCAUCCACCGCACCUACAGCAAUACCAACAGCAACAACAACAGCACAGAACUGGAAGCGAUGAGGGUAGGAGCGUUGGUCCUUCAUCUUGAAUCUAGCAGAAGCAUGGUUUAACCUCUUUCACAAAUCUGCUCCCUACUCGGUUAAAAAUUAAACAUUCCCAGCUCCAGGGGCAAAAGGGACAAAUCAAAGCAAAGGAAGAACAGAGAGAACAAUGAAGACGGAAUCCUGCUGGACUUCUGAAGAAGAGGCAUAUUUUGGAGUUUUGGCUAUUGAUACAUAUAUUUUUUUUAUAAUUAUAUCUCUUUUCUCUCUUUGACCAGUUUGAAGAAAGGAAGGAGGAGGAGGAGGAGAAGAAGGGUAUAUCUUGGAAAACGCGUUUAAAAGAGAAAAAAAAUUACUUUGUUUGCUCUGAUCUCAAUCUCAAUUACUAUCCUUUUGUCCUUUAUUUAUUCGUUCAUUAAUUUAAUCUCUCUCAUCUUUGAAUGGUAGCCGCUCCCUUCUCCUUGACGUCACCGGCGGAUCUCUUUUCAUUAUUUAUGUCCUGCUUUUUUUCUUUUAUUAUAUAUCGUAUGGACUCGUGUAGGUUUUUUGAAUGGUUGUUUAAUUGUUUUAAAGAAGACUAGACCUUAACCUCACCACCCCUUUUUAUUUUUUUUUCUUUUUCUUUUUCUUUUGAUCGAUGAUCAUCAUAAGAGAUUUUGUUAGUGUUAGUUACAAAAGUCUCUUUUUCUGGACA